GAUGGCGGAGAGGGACAGUGGGGCUCCUGCUGGCUUCCCGUCCACUGUGUUUUGAUCAAAGCCCUGGUUCUCGGUCCCUUCUGUGUACAGCCAGAUGAAAGGCAUUGUUGGGCACCUGUUUGCAAAGAAGUGGUGUUUCCUCACAGGACGGCUCACACACGCCUGGGACCGCUCAGUAGGGACGAGACUGACAAGUCCACCCACAAGUUCAGGGACCCAUCCUGCUCUCCCAGGUGACUCCUCGAAGCAACCACUCGGAGAUCCAGAAUCUUCCCAUCAUCUGGCUCUGCCAUUUUGGAGAUGGCCAAGUGACACUGUAGAAGAUUGCAUGUAGGAUAUUUGCUGGAAAUGGCUUCCCUCAUUCUGCCUUUAUGCCAUUGGCCAAAACCUAGUCACAUGGACCCACCAGAUGCACGAAAGGCCAGGAAAUGUGAUCUUCUUAUGUGCCCAGGAGGAAAACGGAAGUCUGAUGACCACAUAGCAUUGUUUCUGCUGCAAGUGUCAUUUCUUCAUGCGGAUGGUCCAGAGGACAACAAAUCAAGCCUUGGUCCGCAGCACUUGUCAGCUUCCUCGGUGUACCUGCUCUGACCGGGGCUGAUUUCAGGUGACCAGCGUGAACAUCACUGAACAGGAAAUCGGGGAGUGACACCCAAGAGCACACCACACGAUGCCAUUUCCACCUUACGGCUACUACAGGUGUAAUUAACCCAACGAGCACGGAUAACCGUAAAACGUAGCGACGUUUUGAAUUU